rnacentral:rRNA from 1 species
ACAAGGAUUCCUCUAGUAACGGCGAGCGAACGAGGAAGAGCCCAGCACCGAAUUCUGCACCUUUCUGGUGCUAGAAAAUGUGGUGUUUAGGCCGUGCUUUGCGCUGGUAUGAUUCUCCUCAAGUCCACUUGAUUGUGGCUUCAGGCCCAGAGAGGGUGUAAGGCCCGUGGAGGCGAGUCGUCCGGUGCCCGGCAUGUCCUUAGAGUCGGGUUGUUUGGGAAUGCAGCCCAAAGCGGGUGGUAAACUCCAUCCAAGGCUAAAUACUAGCACGAGUCCGAUAGCGAAGAAGUACCGCGAGGGAAAGUUGAAAAGAACUUUGAAGAGAGAGUUCAAGAGUACGUGAAACCGCUGAGAGGCAAACUGGUGGAGCUGAAAUGGUCUUGAGGAAUUCAGCCCGUCCUGGCGGCGAUGGCUUCAGUUGUGAGAUCUCACGACUCCGCUGUAAGCUAAUCUGCUGUUAGGAUAGGUGCACUUUCUUCUUGACCGGACCACGACCGGCGACUUGUCUUGGCUGACAUAGGCGGAAGGUAGCGUUCGCUUCUGUGAACGUGUUAUAGCCACCUGUUCGGAUUGAGCGAGGCGUUGGAAGCUUUCUUAGACGCUUGCCCUCUGGGCUCGUACGUUGUCUCUUUCCGAUGUGUCACCGGCUUCACUGCCUUGGCAGGGGUGUCGGGGACGCGUCGGUUAGCGGCGGCCUCUGCGAUUGGCGUCGACAGUCUGUGGUUUUGAAGUAGGCAGUCCACCUGACCCGUCUUGAAACACGGACCAAGGAGUCUAACAUGUGCGCGAGUCAUUGGGUUCUACGAAACCUAAAGGCGCAGUGAAAGUGAAGAUUCAUUCAGAUGAAUUGAGGUGGGAUCCUGGGUUACGUGCUCAGGCGCACUACCGGCCCGUUCGACAUGUUUUCAUGCGGGCGGAGCAAGAGCGUACACGUUGGGACCCGAAAGAUGGUGAACUAUGCUUGCGCAGGUCGAAGCCAGAGGAAACUCUGGUGGAGGACCGUAGCGAUU